rnacentral:rRNA from 1 species
GAUGAACGCUAGCUACAGGCUUAACACAUGCAAGUCGAGGGGAAACGAUAUUGGAAGCUUGCUUCCGAUAGGCGUCGACCGGCGCACGGGUGAGUAACGCGUAUCCAACCUGCCCACCACUUGGGGAUAACCUUGCGAAAGUAAGACUAAUACCCAAUGAUAUCUCUAGAAGACAUCUGAAAGAGAUUAAAGAUUUAUCGGUGAUGGCUGGGGGUGCGUCUGAUUAGCUUGUUGGCGGGGUAACGGCCCACCAAGGCGACGAUCAGUAGGGGUUCUGAGAGGCAGUUCCCCCACAUGGGAACUGAGACACAGUCCAAACUCCUACGGGAGGCAGCAGUGAGGAAUAUUAGUCAAUGGACGAGAUUCUGAACCAGCCAAGUAUGGUGCAGGAUGACGGCCCUAUGGGUUGUAAACUGCUUUUAUAAGGGAAUAAAGUGAGCCUCGUGAGGCUUUUUGCAUGUACCUUAUGAAUAAGGACCGGCUAAUUCCGUGCCAGCCGCCGCCGUAA